UACGGGGGGGGCAAGCGUUGUUCGGAAUUACUGGGCGUAAAGGGCUCGUAGGCGGCCAACUAAGUCCGACGUGAAAUCCCCAGGCUUAACCUGGGAACUGCGUCGGAUACUGGAUGGCUUGAAUCCGGGAGAGGGAUGCGGAAUUCCAGGUGUAGCGGUGAAAUGCGUAGAUAUCGGGAGGAACACCUGUGGCGAAAGCGGCUCACUGGACCACAACUGACGCUGAGGCGCGAAAGCUAGGGGAGCAAACAGG
rnacentral:rRNA from 1 species